GCCUCCUUCCAGGGGGUGCCCCCGCCGCCGGCCCUGCGUGCGAUGGCCGCGGCGGGCUCUUCGGAGGCGGCGCUGCAGGUGGCGGAGGCGCUGGAGACCAUCGUGAGCCGCUGCUUGGGGCCCGAGGGGCGGCAGGUUCUGUGUACGAAGCCCACCGGCGAGGUGCUGCUGAGCCGGGACGGAGGCCGCCUCCUGGGGGCGCUACACCUAGAGCACCCCGCAGCCAGGUUGGUGGUGGCCUAUGUUUCCAGUCAUCUAAGAAAAACAGGAGAUGGUGCUAAGACGUUCGUUGUCUUCCUUUGUCAUUUACUUCGAGGACUUCACGCAAUGACGGACGGAAAACAGGAUUCUUUGGCCUCCAAACACAUGCAGACCCAUAGAAGACGUUGGAAAAAUUGUUGUCGGUGGAAAUUGAUUUCGCAGUCUCUUCUAACGUUUCAGACACACAGAUUAGAUUAUAUUGUGGACCGUUACCUAAGCAGACACUUUGGGUCCAUCUUUUCUUCCUCCACUAAAGAGAGAACGCUGUGUAGGAGCUCUCUAGAGUCGCUCUUAGCAGCGUACUUUGGUGGGAGAGUGGGGAGAAAUAAUCGUGACUUUAUGUCACGGUUGACGUGUGACUACUUUUUCAAAUGUAUGGCCCGUGAACGCGGGUCCGAAGAAGUGUUGGACCUGGUGGAUGAUUAUUUUCUAGAGCUGAGUGCUGGUGUCACCGGCCUCCCCGUCUCCGAUUCCAGGAUCACGCCCGGGCUUGUGCUUCCUAGAGACUUUUCCGUAUACCGUCCAGCAGAUGGUGACAUAAGAAUAGUGAUAGUAACGGAGACCGUUCAGCCUCUCUUUUCCACUUCUGGAUCAGAGUUUAUUUUGCGUUCGGAAGCACAGUUUCAGACAUCUCGGUUUUGGAUUAUGGAAAGAACGAAAGCAAUAAUGAAACAUUUACAGAGUCAGAAUAUAAAAUUGCUCCUGUCUAGUGUGAAGCAACCGGACUCAGUUAUUUAUUACGCAGGACUGGCCGGCAUAUCGGUGGUGGAGUGUUUAUCCCCUGAAGAAGUCUCUCUCAUCCAGAGGAUCACUGGUCUCUCUCCCUUGGCACUGCCACAUGCCACUUCACAGGAUGAAAUCUGUAACACUGUUUUGGUGAAAUUCUGUAAGCCUCUUACCUUUAGAUCCAAAAGGAUGGAGGCGGGAUCACUGACAAGAGAGGGAGAGCUAGCUCUCUGGUUUACAACUGUAGAGCUUCCCGUGGCCCAGCAACAUUCCUGCUUGCAGCUGCCAGGAGACGGCAACAUCAAUUAGCUGAAAGAAUCCAAUGCUCCUGAGGAGGGAGCUAGUGACAAGGCUUCAAUAAAGCCAGACAGUGAAGUUGUUCUGGCAGAGACUCUAGAGUUCAGUCAACUGAGCCUCCAUGAGCAUGGCCCUUUAUGUACCAUUCUCCCAGAAACUCCUCCAGGCUGCAGCUUCUCCCGGGAUCCAGAAAGCAACCCCGAGAACCCGUCACAGGAACCCACCUGCGAGGACAGUGCCAUCGCAGCCGAUGACCUUGUACCAGGUAAGUGUCCUUAGGAGGUGGCGGUGUGCCUGGGGACCUGUGCUGGGCCCCCUGUGCUGGGCCCUGCCUGCACCUGCUGUGCUCUGGGCCCUCUGGCCGAGCUGCUGGGGUGGCAGGUGACCUCGGGCUGGGUCUGGAAACAGCGGCCGUGUCCUGUCGCCCCAGGUUCCCUUGGGUCAGGGGCCCGGGAGGCCUUAGCUGGAUGGUUCUGGCUUGGGGCCUUUGUGAGGGGCCGCUGCCUGGGGCUGAAGGAUGCGGUCCCCUCACUGACCUGGGCAGCAGCCCCGGCCCGGGCCUGGGCCCCUCCGGGGGCUUCUCAGGUGUCUGCGGGCCGCCCCCGACCCCAUGACCCCUGUGUGCUUGGCUCUUGCUUGGGGGGCAAGACUGCACAGCUGGAGACGACCAUCCCAUCUGGGCCGGCCACAGCGAUGCUGACUCGCCGCGGCCUCAGCGGGGGCACCUGGGGCGCUGCGGGCCGCGUCUCUGUGCACCUGCCACCGUGCAGCGAGCUCCGGGGCUGCGGUCGCCGCCUGAGGCCCAGGAGGAAGCCGCACCAACCCGCAUCCUGGUCAGGGGCUGGUUGGGGGGUGCCACACCCGGUGCUCGCGGGCUGCAGGAGGUGGGCCUCCCUGCAGGCGCUCGGAGGGGGCAGCGCGUCAGAAGGGCACCCCCAGGCUGUGCAGCAGGUGCCCGGGAACCAGACGCGCGUUGUCUCCGCUGCUCAAAGGCACGUGCUCCAGGGGGAAGCGAGGGAAAGCCUCAGGGGUAACAAACCCAGUUGCUCUAAUGGACGUGCUGGCCUUGUGGCCGCUCCGUUUUCAUCCUGCAAAGACAUUGCUGUGUGAAAGCCAAUGAAGCUCCGCACUGAGGCUUAAUACUGGAAUUUAAGAGACGCCUUGUUGCAAAACUGACGGCGGGUAUGAAGCCAAGCAGGUGUCCCUGUUACUGGUCCCCCGGGCUGAGCCCCCUGCCAGUUGCUCUGGCUGCUGCAACAGAGUCCGAGCCCCGACCGGCUGGGACCUCAGGCUCAAGUGUGCUCACCUGGUCCCGGAGGCCUGAGGCCUGACAUCAGGGCUCAGUAGGGCAGCACUACCUCUGUGGCCCCAGGGAAGACCCUGUCCCUGCCCCUUGCAGCUUCAGGUGGCUCCAGGGCUCCCCUGGCCCAUGGCCACAGCACUCCAAUCUUGGGCUCCACGGUCACAUUGUUGCCACCUCUCCUGUCAAAUCUCUCUCUGCCUCAUUUGCAUAAGGACACUUGCCAUUGGAUUAUUUAGAGCCCAUGUGGAUAAUCCUGGAUGAGCACCUUCUUGAAAGAUCCUUAGAGGAAUCACAUCAUUUGCCAUGUCAGGUAACACAUCCUCCCUCCCCCUCCCCCCCAUAUAGGGUAACACUAGCAGGUUCGGGAGAUUAGAAGGCGGACAAAUUUUUUUUUUAAGAUUUUAUUUAUUUAGAGAGCAUGAGCAGGGGAGGGCCAAAGGGACAGUGAGAAGCAGGCUCCCCCCAAGAGGGAGCCCAACAUGGGGCUGGAUCUCAGGACCCUGGGAUCAUGACCCGAGCCAAAAGCAGGUGCUAAAGUGACUGAGCCACCCAGCCAUCCCCGAGUGUGCACAGAGCUUUUUGGUUCAGUUUACCGCGACCACCCGGUCCCCAAAGGCUCUGGCACAGCAGUGUUUACGGUGGCGUAAGUUGAACUGAGGGGUCAGGUACACACACAUAACGGCAGAGAUUGUGAGCACGUAGCUGGGGGACAGUUACGCAGGGUUCACACCCAGCCUGUAGGACUCCAGAGUUCAUGCUUUUAAAUCACUAGUCAGUAUUGUCACCUUCUUGCCCUUUUAUGUGUGAACUGUCAUCGUCAAUAUGUUCAAAGUCAGCAGUUACGGAAAGGAAGCCCGGGCUAUGGGGGCGCCAGCAGGCCCGGCCUCGGUUUGGCGUUUUUUUUUUUUUUUUCUUUAAAGAUUUUAUUUAUUUACUCAUGAGAGACAGAGAGAGGCAGAGACACAGGCAGAGAGAGAAGCAGGCUCCAUGCAGGAAGCCCGACGUGGGACUCGAUCCCGAGACUUCAGGACCACGCCCUGGGCCGAAAGCAGGAACCAAACCACUGAGCCAUCCAGGGAUCCCUGGUUUGGCGGGGUUUGCACAACUAAGAAGCCCUGGUCGCCACCACUCGCAGAGGAGACUCCGCCGCCCCUCCCCCAGCCCCCAACUGCAGGCGAGUAGCCAGGAGGCUAAUUCAUUCUUGCUGCCUCUUUUCAAUUCGCAGUUCAGUGUCAGCGUCUCAGUCUGGCAGGUAAAGGUGACCCUGGCCGUCAUCUGCCUUCCUGGACUCCCAGUGGAAAAGCGACAGAACCCAAAGUCACCGUGGAAGUGGGACCCACGGCGGUAGGACACUGGCACCUGCCCACCCGGCCGCGUGAGAAUCGUGAAGUGACAACACCUCUGGAGGCCUCGAUUUCUCUGUCGCUCUCAACACUAGAGUUCUGGCCCUGCUCCUCUUGCUGAGUCAACAAGAAUGUCUUCAUGGAAAUGAAAAUGAGGAGAUGAGUAAGAGAUGCUGAGAUGCCAGCAGCCGGACCACAACUGGUGAGAAGCCAGCCCGGGAGAGGGAAUUAACAUGGGAACAGGUGCAGGCGGG